AGCCGUGGAGCGCCACCACAACGUCAAAAGAGAGUCGAGCACCGCCGCGGGAGUGCUCCAUCUACGUCAUUGUUCUGGUCGAGAAAAAGGGCAUAGAAGCUUCGUUAUUGCAUGUGGAAGCUAGGUGGGGCAUCGUCAAGCGAAGGCUCGGUCGACUUUGGCCGGAAUUGCUCAUCGACGUUCCUAACCCACCGCCGACCGCUCCCCAUCGUGGCCGGUAUUCUCGGCUACUCCAAGCGCUUGGUAAGACCCUCGAAUGGUUUCACCUCUUCCUCAUCUCCAAAUAGCACUGUUUAGGCUGAAGAUUGGGGCGCUGGGCACCGGACUAUGGGCCUCCGAUAGGUUCUGCGCGGUGGUGGUGGGCGGCGCCGCGGCGAGCGUGUUCAAGCGUGGGGUCUGUAGGGGGUGGAACCCUAGCCGUUGAUCGGCCGAAGUUUGGUCGUGAUUAUGUUAUAAUACCCUUUUGGCUGGUGGGAUCUUGGCCGUGCGUUAUUGAUCGAACAGAGCCUUGGCGAUCUCAGUUAUUUAAAUCCAUGCCCUUGAUAUUAGAUCUAAGGGCUACUGAUGCGUACCGAUUCAGAUGGGUACUGAUUUAGUCAUGGGCGCACGAUUUUGAUCCUACGGCUCAUGUGCAUAGAUUUCCCUUUGGCUUGGCCAAAAUUGCAAAAGAACACCCGAGAUAGUUCCUAACCAACCCGUCGUCCUGUUUUUGCACCCGAGCCCCCAAAAUUAACUUUUAAAAAUACAGAGCGGUCCUUAGACUUUACAAAAAAACCCUGGAAGCUAUUUUGGCAUCAAAAUUAAUAACAAAAACACCCCAAACUUGUUUAGCUCAUGAAGUUCUCGUUUUAACUCCGUUUUAACCCAUUCAAAUUGCGUUAGCUUCGCAAUAAUAUUCCCUAUGCUAUAGUAGCAUUAUUUUUACCAAGUAACAUAUUUUCGAAAAUAGGUAUUUGUUUAACCUAAGCUAGUAGGUUAACUUUUCUAAUCAAAGUUAUUAUGUCCAUAAUUAUAAGUUGACUAAAAUAUGAUUUCUAAUUAAGUUAUAACUUAUAUUAAGGUGGAAUUAGUUAUUUAUUUAGAAUAUCUUUUCCACGUUAUUUGUAAUAAUAGUUUUAUUGCUUAAUCACCUAAACCACGAGAAAACCAUAUCUUUUCCACCGUACCUCCGUUUUUGGUGAUUCUCGAGCCUGCAAUCUCGUAGUGACGCGUAUUGUCGGGGACCAUAAUUAGGGGUACCCUCAAGACUCCUAAUUCUCAGCUGGUAACCCCCAUCAGCAUAAAGCUGCUAAGGCCUGAUGGGUGCGAUUAAGUCAGGGAUCAGUCCAUUCGAGCGACUCGAUCACGCCUCGUCCGAGCCUAGCCUCGGACAAGGGCAGCCGACCCCGGAGGAUUUCCGUCUCGCCCGAGGCCCCCCCCCCUCCGACGGCGAACAUAUCUCCGGCUCGCUCGAGGCCCUGCCUUCGCUAAGAAGCAACCCUGACUAAAUCGCCGCACCGACCGACCAAGUCGCAGGAGCAUUUAAUGCAAAGGUAGCCUGACACCUUUAUCCUGACGCGCGCCCUCCGGCAGAGCCGAAGCGACCGUCGUCACUUCGCCGCUCCACUGACCGGCCUGACAGAAGGACAGCGCCGCCUGCGCCACUCCGACUGCAGUGCCACUUGACAGAGUGAGACUGACAGGCAGUCAGGCCCUGCCAAAGGCACCAUAGGAAGCUCCGCUCCGCCCAACCCAGGGGCUCGGACUCGGGCUAAGCCCCGGAAGACGGCGAACUCCGCUCCGCCCGACCCAGGGCUCGGACUCGGGCUAAGUCCCGGAAGACGGAGAACUCCGCUCCGCCCGACCCAGGGCUCGGACUCGGGCUAAGACCCGGAAGACGGCGAACUCCGCUCCGCCCGACCCAGGGCUCGGACUCGGGCUAAGACCCGGAAGACGGCGAACUCCGCUCCGCCCGACCCAGGGCUCGGACUCGGGCUCAGCCCCAGAAGACGACGAACUCCGCUCCGCCCGACCCAGGGCUCGGACUCGGGCUCAGCCCCAGAAGACGACGAACUUCGCUCCGCUCGACCCCAGGGCUCGGACUCCGCCCUGGCCUCUGCCGACGACCUCCGCCUCGCCCGACCCAGGGGCUCGGACUCCGCCUCGGCCAUGGAAGACAGACUCGAUCUCGGCUUCGGAGGAGCCUCUACAUCGCCCAACCUAGGGCAUAGGCUCGCCACAUCAACAGGAGGCGCCAUCAUCACCCUACCCCAAACUGACUCGGGCCGCAGGGAACAAGACCGGUGUCCCAUCUGGCUAGCUCCGCCAGAUAGGCAGUGAUGGCGUCCCGCAUGCUCUGUGACGACGGCGGCACUCAUCCCCCUUACGGAAGCAAGAGGACGUCAGCAAGGACCCAACCGCUCCGGCAGCUGUCCUUCCGCCGGGCUCCAUCGCUCCUCCGACGUCCACGACAUCACACUAGCUGGGUGCCAAAAUCUCUCCGGUUGCCACAUCGGCAUGUACUUAGGGCACUAGCUCUCCCCCGCUAGACACGUAGCACUCUGCUACACCCCCCAUUGUACACCUGGAUCCUCUUCUUACGCCUAUAAAAGGAAGGACCAGGGCCCUCUUAGAGAGGGUUGGCCGCGCGGGGACGAGGACGAGACAGGCGCUCCCUUGGGGCCGCUCGCUUCCCUCUCCCACGUGGACGCUUGUAACCCCCUACUGCAAGCGCACCCGACCUGGGCGCAGGACGAACACGAAGGCCGCGGGAUUGCCACCUCUCUCACGCCGGACUCCGGCCGCCUCGCUCCUUCCCCCCUUCGCGCUCGCCCUCGCGCUCGACCCAUCUGGGCUGGGGCACGCGGCGACACUCACUCGUCGGCCCAAGGGACCCCCCGGUCUCGGAACGCCGACAGUUGGCGCGCCAGGUAGGGGCCUGCUGCGUGUUGACGAACAGCUUCCCGUCAAGCUCCAGAUGGGCAGUCUCCGGCAACCUCUCCAACCCGGGACGGUGCUCCGUUUCGAGAGUCUUGAGUUCAUGUCCCUCGACGGCAGCUACGACAUGAUACUCCUUCCGCCGCCGUGCGACAAUGACAAUGGCGGCCGACAGCCCGCCCGCCGGCGGCGAAAUCGACGACGUCUUCCCCGCGUGGCGGAAGAACAACAUUCGAGCUCGUCCCGCCUUCUUCCCCGCCGACGGAGGGGAAGGCAGGGCAACCAAGGCCAGGCAGGAGGCAGCGCCUCGUCGGCUGUCGAGCAAGUCGACAGCGCCGGCACCCCAACGAGGGGUGCACCGGGUAUCGACUUCGCGCCUGAGACGAAGACGAGCGCCGUCUCCCCGCGACAUGCCAAACCCGAGCAAGUGGACGACGCCAGCGCGCUUGCGAAAAGCUUGCAGGACGUCGCCCUCGUACCUGAGGCGACGGUGCAGUCAGUCCUCGACGUGACUUCAUCGCCGCUCGACGACCAAAAGGUACCGACCGAUUCCCAUCCUACGUCUUUUGGAUUCAGCCUCAACCCGCCUAGCAAUCUCGCUUUGGCGGACGCUUUCGUGGAGGCGAGUCCAAACCCUCUGGGGUUCCGCAUGCGGUCGCCUUGGGCCGGUUGACGGACGUCUCGACCUACGGGCCCUCUGGGUCCGAGGAAGACGACGACCCCAACAUCUGUUGGGAUUUCUCUGGACUUGGCAACCCCAGUGCCAUGCAGGACUUCAUGACCGCAUGUGGCUUCUGCCUCUCCGACUGUUCCGACGGUAGCCGCAGCCUCGACGACGAGGAUUGCGGCCCAAGCCACGAAUGUUUCCACGUCGAUCUAGGGGGUCCCUCUGAAGGCAAUCAUCUCGGCAUGCCGGAGGACGGUGAUCUCCCUGAGCCGGUGCCUCGCGCUGACAUCCCACGGGAGCUAGCUGUGGUCCCCGUUCCGGCGGGGGGUCAUGACCCACAGCUCGAGCAACUCCGCGGGGCGCAGGCCAGGUUCGACGAGGGAGCAGGAGCGCUUGAGCCAAUCCGCCGGGACGUCGGGCAGGCAUGGGCGGGCCAACCCCUGGCCGGAGAAAUACGUCACCUGCCCCAGGGUCUCCAGCACCGCGUCGCCGAUGACGUCAGGUUCAGGCCGCCACCCGCAACCAGUGGGGUCGGCCAGAACCUGGCUGCAGCAGCGAUGCUCCUCCGCGCGAUGCCGGAGCCAUCCACCACCGAGGGUCGGCGAAUCCAGGGGGAGCUCAAGAAUCUCCUGGAAGGCGCCGCGGUCCGACGGGCCGAGAGCACUGCCUCCCGAAGGCAAGGAUACCCCUCGGAACCUCAUGCCGCGACUUCCCGAUUCAUGCGGGAAGCCUCGGUCUACACCGAGCGCACACGCAACACCGCGCCGACCCCUGACUACUAUCACAAAGUACUCGGGGGAGACGAGACCGGAACUGUGGCUCGCGGACUACCGCCUGGCCUGCCAGCUGGGUGGAACGGACGACGACAACCUCAUCAUCCGCAACCUCCCCCUGUUCCUCUCCGACACCGCUCGCGCCUGGUUGGAGCACCUGCCUCCGGGGCAGAUCUCCAACUGGGAUGACCUGGUCCAAGCCUUCGCCGGAAAUUUCCAGGGCACAUACGUGCACCCCGGGAAUUCCUGGGACCUCCGAAGCUACCGGCAGCAGCCGGGAGAGUCUCUCCGGGACUACAUCCGACGAUUCUCGAAGCAGCGCACCGAGCUGCCCAACAUCACCGACUCGGAUGUCAUCGACGCGUUCCUUGCCGGCACCACCUGCCGCGACCUGGUGAGUAAGUUGGGUCGCAAGACCCCCACCAGGGCGAGCGAGCUGAUGGACAUCGCCACCAAGUUCGCCUCUGGCCAGGAGGCGGUCGAGGCUAUCUUCCGAAAGGACAAGCAGCCCCAGGGCCGCCCAUCGGAAGAUGCUCCCGAGGCGUCUACUCAGCGCGGCGCCAAGAAGAAAGGCAAGAAGAAGUCGCAAGCGAAACGCGACGCCGCCGCCGAGUACAAGAACCCUCGGAAGCCCCCCGGAGGUGCCAACCUCUUCGACAAGAUGCUCAAGGAGCCGUGCCCCUAUCAUCAGGGGCCCGUCAAGCACACCCUUGAGGAGUGCGUCAUGCUUAGGCGCCACUUCCACAGGGCCGGGCCACCCGCGGAGGGUGGCAGGGCCCGCGACGAUGACAAGAAGGAAGAUCACCAAGCAGGAGAGUUCCCCGAGGUCCGCGACUGCUUCAUGAUCUAUGGUGGGCAUGCGGCGAAUGCCUCGGCUCGGCAUCGCAAGCAAGAGCGCCGGGAGGUCUGCUCGGUGAAGGUGGCGGCGCCAGUCUACCUAGACUGGUCCGACAAGCCCAUCACCUUCGACCAAGCUGACCACCCCGACCACGUGCCGAGCCCGGGGAAAUACCCGCUCGUCGUCGACCCCGUCGUCGUCGACGUCAGGCUCACCAAGGUCCUUAUGGACGGGGGCAGCAGCCUCAACAUCAUCUACGCCGAGACCCUCGGGCUCCUGCGCGUCGAUCUGUCCUCCGUCCGAGCAGGCGCUGCGCCCUUCCACGGGAUCAUUCCGGGGAAGCGCGUCCAGCCCCUCGGACGACUCGACCUCCCCGUCUGCUUCGGAACGCCCACCAACUUCCGAAGGGAGACUCUGACGUUCGAGGUGGUCGGGUUCCGAGGAACCUACCACGCGGUACUAGGGAGGCCAUGCUACGCGAAGUUUAUGGCCGUCCCCAACUAUACCUACUUGAAGCUCAAGAUGCCGGGCCCCAACGGGGUCAUCACCGUCGGCCCCACGUACAAACACGCGUUCGAAUGCGACGUGGAGUGCGUGAAGUACGCCGAGGCCCUCGCCGAGUCCGAGGCCCUCAUCGCCGACCUGGAAAACCUCUCCAAAGAGGUGCCAGACGUGAAGCGUCAUGCCGGCAACUUCGAGCCAGUGGAGACGGUUAAGGCCGUCCCCCUCGACCCUAGUGGCCACGCCUCCAAGCAGAUCCGGAUCGGUUCCGGGCUCGACCCCAAAUAGGAAGCAGUGCUCGUCGACUUCCUCCGCGCGAACGCCGACGUCUUCGCGUGGAGUCCCUCGGACAUGCCCGGCAUACCGAGGGAUGUCGCCAAGCACUCGCUGGAUAUUCGGGCCAGAGCCCGACCCGUCAAGCAGCCUCUGCACCGAUUCGACGAGGAGAAGCGCAGAGUGAUAGGCGAGGAGAUCCACAAGCUAACGGCAGCCGGGUUCAUCAAAGAGGUAUUCCAUCCCCAAUGGCUUGCCAACCCUGUGCUUGUGAGAAAGAAAGGGGGGAAAUGGCGGAUGUGUGUAGACUACACUGGUCUCAACAAAGCAUGUCCGAAGGUUCCCUACCCUCUGCCUCGCAUCGAUCAAAUUGUGGAUUCCACUGCUGGGUGCGAAACCCUGUCUUUCCUCGAUGCCUACUCAGGGUAUCACCAAAUCAGGAUGAAAGAGUCCGACCAGCUCGCGACUUCUUUCAUCACGCCCUUCGGCAUGUACUGCUAUGUCACCAUGCCGUUCGGUUUGAGGAAUGCGGGCGCGACGUACCAGCGGUGCAUGAACCAUGUGUUCGGCGAACACAUCGGUCGCACGGUCGAGGCCUACGUCGAUGACAUCGUAGUCAAGACAAGGAAAGCUUCCGACCUCCUUUCCGACCUUGAAGUGACAUUCCGAUGUCUCAAGGCAAAAGGCGUCAAGCUCAAUCCCGAGAAGUGUGUCUUCGAGGUGCCCCGGGGCAUGCUCUUGGGGUUCAUCGUCUCCGAGCGGGGCAUCGAGGCCAACCCGGAGAAGAUCGCAGCCAUCACCAGCAUGGGGCCCAUCAAGGACUUAAAAGGCGUACAGAGGGUCAUGGGAUGUCUCGCGGCUCUGAGCCGCUUCAUCUCACGCCUCGGCGAAAGAGGUCUGCCUCUGUACCGCCUCUUAAGGAAGGCCGAGUGCUUCACUUGGACCCCUGAGGCCGAGGAAGCUCUCGGGAACCUGAAGGCGCUCCUCACAAAGGCGCCUAUCUUGGUGCCCCCAGCUGCUGGAGAAGCCCUCUUGGUCUACGUCGCCGCGACCACUCAGGUGGUUAGCGCCGCGAUUGUGGUCGAGAGGCAAGAAGAGGGGCAUGCAUUGCCCGUUCAGAGGCCAGUUUACUUCGUCAGCAAAGUACUGUCCGAAACCAAGAUCCGCUACCCACAAGUUCAGAAGCUGCUGUACGCGGUGAUCCUGACGCGGCGGAAGUUGCGACACUACUUCGAGUCUCAUCCGGUAACUGUGGUGUCAUCCUUCCCCCUGGGGGAGAUCAUCCAGUGCCGAGAGGCCUCGGGCAGGAUUGCAAAGUGGGCGGUGGAAAUCAUGGGCGAGGCAAUCUCGUUCGCCCCACGGAAGGCCAUCAAGUCCCAGGUCUUGGCGGACUUCGUGGCCGAAUGGGUCGAUACCCAGCUACCGACGGCUCCGAUCCAACCAGAGCUCUGGACCAUGUUUUUCGACGGGUCGCUGAUGAAGACAGGAGCAGGCGCAGGCCUACUCUUCAUCUCGCCCCUCGGGAAACACCUACGCUACGUGCUGCGCCUCCAUUUCCCGGCAUCCAACAAUGUGGCUGAGUACGAGGCUCUGGUCAACGGGUUGCGGAUCGCCAUCGAGCUAGGGGUCCGGCGCCUUGACGCCCGUGGUGACUCACAGCUCGUCAUCGACCAAGUCAUGAAGAACUCCCACUGCCGCGACCCGAAGAUGGAGGCUUACUGCGAUGAAGUUCGGCGCCUGGAAGACAAGUUCUACGGGCUCGAGCUUAACCACAUCGCUCGGCGCUACAACGAGACUGCGGAUGAGCUGGCAAAAAUAGCCUCGGGGCGAACAACGGUUCCCCCGGACGUCUUCUCCCGGGAUCUGCAUCAACCCUCCGUCAAGAUCGACGACACGCCCGAGCCUGAGGCGCCCUCGGUCCAGCCCGAGGCACCCUCAGCUCGGCCCGAGGCGCCCUCGGUUCAGCCCGAGGUACCCUCGGCCUCCGAGGGUGAGGCACUGCGCAUCGAGGAGGAGCGGAGCGGGGCCACACCUGAUCGAAAUUGGCAGACCCCGUACCUGCAAUAUCUCCGCCAAGGAGAGCUACCCCUCGACCGAGCCGAGGCUCGGUGGGUAGCGCGAUGCGCCAAGUCGUUCGUCUUGCUGGGCGAUGAGAAGGAGCUCUACCACCGCAGCCCCUCAGGCAUCCUCCAGCGAUGCAUCUCCAUCGCCGAAGGUCAGGAACUCCUGCGAGAGAUACACUCGGGGGCUUGCGGCCAUCACGCAGCGCCUCGAGCCCUCGUUGGGAAUGCAUUCCGACAAGGCUUCUACUGGCCAACGGCGGUGGCUGACGCCACUAGAAUUGUCCGCACCUGCGAAGGGUGUCAAUUCUAUGCGAAGCAGACCCACCUGCCCGCUCAGGCUCUGCAGACGAUACCCACCACCUAGCCCUUUGCUGUGUGGGGUCUGGACCUCGUCGGCCACUUGCAGAAGGCGCCCGGGGGCUACACACACCUGCUGGUCGCCAUCGACAAAUUCUCCAAGUGGAUCGAGGUCCGACCUCUGAACAGCAUCAGGUCCGAACAGGCGGUGGCGUUCUUCACCAACAUCAUCCAUCGCUUCGGGGUCCCGAACUCCAUCAUCACCGACAACAGCACCCAGUUCACCGGCAGAAAAUUCUUGGACUUCUGCAAGGAUCACCACAUCCGGGUGACUGGGCCGCCGUGGCUCAUCCCAUGUCGAAUGGGCAAGUAGAGCGUGCCAACGGCAUGAUUCUACAAGGGCUCAAGCCUCGGAUUUACGACGACCUCAACAAGUUCGGCAAGCGAUGGAUGAAGGAACUCCCCUCGGUGGUCUGGAGCCUGAGGACAACGCCGAGCCGAGCCACGGGUUUCACGCCGUUCUUCCUAGUCUACGGGGCCGAGGCCGUCUUGCCCACUGACCUGGAAUACGGCUCCCCGAGGACGAGGGCCUACGACGAUCAAAGCAACUAAGCCAGCUGAGAAGACUCGCUGGACCAGCUGGAAGAGGCUCGGGACAAGGCCUUACUACACUCGGCGCGGUACCAGCAGUCCCUGCGACGCUACCACGCCCGAGGGGUCCGGCCCCGAGACCUCCAGGAGGGCGACCUGGUGCUCCGGCUGCGACAAGACGCCCGAGGGAGGCACAAGCUCACGCCCCCCUGGGAGGGGCCAUUUGUCAUCGCCAAAGUUCUGAAGCCCGGAACAUACAAGCUGGCCAACAGUCAAGGCGAGGUCUACGGCAACGCUUGGAACAUCCAACAGCUACGUCGCUUCUACCCUUAAGAUGUUUUCAAGUUGUUCAUAUACCUCGCACCCACGCAAAGUUUAGUCAUCAAGGAAGGGUCGGCCUCGCCUCGGCAAAGCCCGACCCUCCCUCGGGGGCUAAAAGGGGGGGAACCCCUCUGCGUUGAAAUUUUCCUCGAAAAAAAGAUCUCUUCUGCCAGAUUAUCUUUCGUGCUUUCUGACUACUUCGAAAAGUGGAUCCUGAAAACGACGGAGUACACGUAAGCAGCCAAGGCUGACCGAGCCGAGGGACUCCUACGCCUCCGGGAUACGGAUACCACACUCAUCACCUUCUGCGAUAAGUAACUCGCGUUCGGAUAAAGUGAUUCCGCGGACCGAAUAAGUCUUCACGUUCGGAAGCUCUUCUGCCGAAGCGAUCCUUCGAGCCUUCUCGACUGAGUCGGUGACAGGGCCUCAUGGACAGGUGAAAGUGCGCGUAAGCGGCAAGGCCGACCGAGCCGAGGGACUCCCACGCCUCCGGGAUACGGAUACCUCACUCAUCACCUUCCGCGAGAAGCAACUCUCGCUCGCACAAACAUCCCUGUUACCGACAAAAAAGUCCAGAUACUCGAAACAGGAGGAAAGGAGACGCAACUUUACAACACAGCGAGGGUGUGUAUUCUGGCCUCGGCGGCCGCAGAAGGCACACGCUACAAGACACUCUGAUCCUGCAGGCUCGGGUCUUGACGCCGGAAGGGGACAGCAGCACCCUCGGCAUUGACGAACACCCUCGACGCUGAGGUCGGGGUCGGGAUCACAGCCCGGCUUGCCUCUCCCCAUCCAGGAGCUGGAGGUCACCAUCUUGGGUGACCACCAGCGGAGGGGAGCAACCGGGCUGUGUGAUGAAAAUCCUUGAAGCCGAACGAUGGCUGAAAGGUACCCACUCCCACGGAGUUGCGUUCCUCCAACGAUGAGGCGAAAAGACGGCGGGUAUCCCCCAUCCGGGGGCUUGGAAGGUGGAAAGACACGAUGCAUAAGGGAGCGAGAAAACAUGGUCGCCUUCCAAAAGGGGUCGCCCUCCUUUAAAGGCACCUCUCCCUACUUGCGCCCCAACCGUCAUGGGCUGAGUCUUCUCCAACACGCUCCAAGGCCCUCCCCUGCGGCGCGGGGGCUGGGUCCCGCGUGUCAUGCAAGCCGGCUCAGAGCAGAAGAAGCCAAACCGCCGCGCGUGGUGCACACGACCGCCCAGCGGUUACAAGUGACCCUCCACUUUUGCCCAGACCAACGGGCGAAAGAGGCGGGAAGCCAUGCAGGCGGCAUGCAACCGCGCCAAGUGGACGCGCUUCUCCGACUCCCGACACGCCCAGCAUGGAGGCCCAGGCCCACGCGUCACGCAACCGACGCGCCGGAUGCUUCAUGCAAGCAACUGCACCGCCACUUGCGCCACCACCGCGCCUCCUCGAUUGCGGAACCAAUACCGCAACUCGAGGCGACUCAGCGCACGACCCAGCAGCGCCAGCCUGGCGCGGCGGUCAAUGCGGCCAAAAGUGGGUCGGCAGUAAUGACGGUGGCAGGCGGGCGGGAGCAGCGGUCACGUCGUCAGCCAAGCUCACGUCCCAUCCGGGGGCAGCAAGAGAACCCCCUCUCACGGCGUGAAGACAGCUCGCCCGUGAUCCGUUCCUCGAACGGCUCACGCACGCGCGACGGCCGCCCCGCCAACCACUCGCCCCGUCGCAUUAACUCCGCGGCGGGACAGGCGGCGUUUCUGGCAGGAAAAGCGGGCGACGCUUCGCCUUCGCCGAAAUAACCGCGCCAAAAAAGGUACGCCGCGUCGUUCGAUUUCGUAUCCUUUUCCUUUUUUCCUCUUUCUCUAUCGCUUGCAACAGGGACCUGGAAAGGGGGAUACCCCGAAAAGGAUCCUUCCUCGUGAAGGAACCAGGCUCCGAGCCUCCUUACUGAUCAGAGGUUCGAAGGCUGGCCCCCCGAAGGGUUCAACAGCCGCCUCAGAUCGCGUGGGCCCUACACCCACUACUGGUCAGAGGUUCGAAGGCCGGCCCCCCGAAGGGUUCCACGGCCGCCUCAGGCUACUCGGGCUCCGCGCCCAUUACUGAUCAGGGGUUCGAAGGCUGGCCCCCGAAGGGUUCACAGCCGCCUCAGACGCCGAGCGAGGGAUGACCAGGGGUACGUUCGAUACAUAACCGAGGCUCGGGCUGCGCUCCCGAGGUACCCUAGGACAUUUCCGAGACCAGCGGGAGCGAUCUUGUAAUGGAAUCCCAUCAGAGGGAGGCAUCGAGCCCUCGGACCCCGUCGCCAGGGGACCGGGUCCGGCAGAUCACCCGCAGGUACUUUUGGGCGUGCCUCUGGGCCCCUAGCCGACCCCUAACAAACGGGGCACGGACGUCCACUCGGAUUACCCGCUUGCAGCUCACCGGAGACACCAUGUUCGGCGCCCAUCGAGGGCAACAUGGCGCUUUCCCCCCCUCCUCCUUGCGAAAAGGCGACGCAGGGGCGUAUGCAAAAAGCCGAGUCUGCCCCUGAUCGCCCUCUCGCCCUGUGCAGAGGCUCGGGGGCUGCUCUCGCAAACCCGGCUCCGGCCGAACCGUUGACAGCGUCAACAUACCAGCCCGAGAACUUGGGCCCCGACCGUACACCCGGGCUACGGCCAGUUCGCAUGAGGGAACAACCAGACCAGCCGAAGCAUUACGCGAGGCAUUAAGACCUCGAAGGAGUGAAACCACUCCUCCGAGGCCUCGGGGGCUACACCCGGCGGGUGCGCUCGCACGCACCCACCGGAACAAAAUGCAACCGAGAAAGGCUGGUCCCCUUGCAAAAAAGUGCGACGAAAGCCUCCAAGCGAGUGCUAACACUCACUUCGAGGCUCGGGGGCUACUGUCGGGGAACAUAAUUAGGGGUACCCUCAAGACUCCUAAUUCUCAGCUGGUAACCCCCAUCAGCAUAAAGCUGCUAAGGCCUGAUGGGUGCGAUUAAGUCAGGGAUCAGUCCAUUCGAGCGACUCGAUCACGCCUCGUCCGAGCCUAGCCUCGGACAAGGGCAGCCGACCCCGGAGGAUUUCCGUCUCGCCCGAGGCCCCCCCCUCCGACGGCGAACAUAUCUCCGGCUCGCCCGAGGCCCUGCCUUCGCUAAGAAGCAACCCUGACUAAAUCGCCGCACCGACCGACCAAGUCGCAGGAGCAUUUAAUGCAAAGGUAGCCUGACACCUUUAUCCUGACGCGCGCCCUCCGGCAGAGCCGAAGUGACCGCCGUCACUUCGCCGCUCCACUGACCGGCCUGACAGAAGGACAGCGCCGCCUGCGCCACUCCGACUGCAGUGCCACUUGACAGAGUGAGACUGACAGGCAGUCAGGCCCUGCCAAAGGCACCAUAGGAAGCUCCGCUCCGCCCGACCCAGGGGCUCGGACUCGGGCUAAGCCCCGGAAGACGGCGAACUCCGCUCCGCCCGACCCAGGGCUCGGACUCGGGCUAAGUCCCGGAAGACGGCGAACUCCGCUCCGCCCGACCCAGGGCUCGGACUCGGGCUAAGACCCGGAAGACGACGAACUCCGCUCCGCCCGACCCAGGGCUCGGACUCGGGCUAAGACCCGGAAGACGACGAACUCCGCUCCGCCCGACCCAGGGCUCGGACUCGGGCUCAGCCCCAGAAGACGACGAACUCCGCUCCGCCCGACCCAGGGCUCGGACUCGGGCUCAGCCCCAGAAGACGACGAACUUCGCUCCGCCCGACCCGAGGGCUCGGACUCCACCCUGGCCUCUGCCGACGACCUCCGCCUCACCCGACCCAGGGGCUUGGACUCGGCCUCGGCCAUGGAAGACAGACUCGACCUCGGCUUCGGAGGAGCCUCCACAUCGCCCAACCUAGGGCAUAGGCUCGCCACGUCAACAGGAGGCGCCAUCAUCACCCUACCCCAAACUGACUCGGGCCGCAGGGAACAAGACCGGUGUCCCAUCUGGCUAGCUCCGCCAGAUAGGCAAUGAUGGCGUCCUGCAUGCUCUGUGACGACGGCGGCACUCAUCCCCCUUACGGAAGCAAGAGGACGUCAGCAAGGACCCAACCGCUCCGACAGCUGUCCCUCCGCCGGGCUCCAUCGCUCCUCCGACGGCCACGACAUCACACCAGCUGGGUGCCAAAAUCUCUCCGGCUGCCACAUCGGCAUGUACAUAGGGCACUAGCUCUCCCCCGCUAGACACGAACACUCUGUUACACCCCCAUUGUACACCUGGAUCCUCUCCUUACGCCUAUAAAAGGAAGGACCAGGGCCCUCUUAGAGAGGGUUGGCCGCGCGGGGACGAGGACGAGACAGGCGCUCCCUUGGGGCCGCUCGCUUCCCUCUCCCGCGUGGACGCUUGUAACCACCUACUGCAAGCGCACUCGACCUGGCGCGGGACGAACACGAAGGCCGCGGGAUUCCCACCUCUCUCACGCCGGACUCCGGCCGCCUUGCUCCUUCCCCCCUUCGCGCUCGCCCUCGCGCUCGACCCAUCUGGGCUGGGGCACGUGGCGACACUCACUCGUCGGCCCAAGGGACCCCCCGGUCUCGGAACGCCGACACGUAUAAUAUCCUUAUGUUGUUUUGUUCUUAUGAUUUGGUGUAAUGUUAUUAUCCCCAUUAAACUUAAUUUGUCAUUUGCAUUACAUUAUGGGUUUAUUAUUAAUUGUGAUCUCUUAUUUGAUUGAGUUGGUAUCUACUUACACUUAUUAACUGCUAAUAAAAUUUUAACCAAUUUCAAAAUUAAUGCUCAGCUUUAACCCUCUUCUUUGGUAAGCCUUACACUUCACAUGAGCCCCUACCGUAAGUGAGCUCAUGCACAUUAUUCCCCACAACUUGUUAAGCGAUGAGCCCCGGGCAAAGCGAAUGUGAUUGUAGAUGCUCUGAGCAGGAAGAGUCAAGCCAACAUGAUGGCUGCUCACCCAAUGUCGCAUGAAUUAGCCAAGGAGUCUGACAGACUGAACCUCAGGUUUCUGAACAACACGCAAGGGGUAACGGUCGAGUUGGAACCCACCUUAGAGCGUGAAAUCAAAGAAGGACAAAAGGACGAUGACAAAAUUGACGAGAUCUGGCAAAUGAUUCUAGAAGGAAGAGGCAAAGAUUUUCGAGAGGAUGCAGAAGACGUGAUAUGGUUCAAAGACCGAUUGUGUGUUCCCGAUAUCAAGUCCAUUCGGGAGCUAAUCCUCAAAGAAGCUCAUGAGACAGCUUACUCCAUACACCCUAGAAGCAAGAAGAUGUAUUAGGAUUUAAAAAGGGGGUUUUGGUGGUACGGUAUGAAAAGGGAGAUCGCAAAAUAUGUCGUCGUCUGUGACAGCUGUCAGAGAACCAAAGCUGAGCAUCAGAAGCCAGUCAAACUUUUAGAGCCAUUGCAAAUUCCUCAGUGGAAGUGGGAUGAGCUCGGGAUGGAUUUUAUAGUUAACCUAGCUUGUACUCGGGUCGGCUAUGACUCCAUCUGGGUGGAGGUGGACUGCUUGACGAAGGUAGUCCAUUUCAUACCUAUGAAGACAACGUACACCAGAGGAACACUAGCUGAGUUAUACAUGUCCCGGAUUGUCUGUUUUCAUGGUGUACCGAAGAAGAUAGUGUCAGAUCAAGGAACACAGUUCACCUCUCAUUUUUGGCAGCAGCUACAAGAAGCGCUGGACAUCCAUUUGAACUUCAGUUCAUCUUAUCACCCGCAGACUGGCGGUCAGAUUGAGAGAACUAAUCAGAUCCUAGAAGACAUGUUGAGGGACUAUGCAUUGCAAGACAAGUCAGGAUGGGAUAAGAAAUUACCCUAUGUAGAAUUCUCAUAUAACAACAACUACCAGGAUAGCUUGAAUAUGUCACCGUUUCAGACACUAUACGAAAGGAAUUGUAGAACUCCACUGCUUUGGGAUCAACCUGGGGAAAGACAAGUGUUUGGCCUAGAGAUUUUGCUUGAAGCCAAAGAGAACAUCAACAUGAUUCGAGAGAAUCUGAAGAUAGCACAGUCAAGGCAGCGAAGUUAUGCUGACACCCGAAGAAGGGCGCUGAGUUUUGAAGUGGGAGAUUAUGUUUACUUGAAGGUGUCACCUAUCACAGGAGUUCGAAGAUUCGAAGUCAAGGGAAAGAUAGCACCCCUAUAUAUUGGACCAUACCAGAUUCAGGCAAGAUGUGGAGAGGUGGCCUACCAUCUCAGUUUACCAGAAAGCAUGUCAGCGGUGCACAAUGUUUUCCAUGUGUCUCAGUUGAAGAAGUGCUUGCAAGUUCUGAUAGAACAGUUGCUAGUGGAGGACCUAGAAGUCCAAGAAGAUCAGACCUAUAUAUAGAGGCCAACUCGGAUAUUGGAAACCGCAGAUAGAGUCACUCGAAGAAACACCAUCAGAAUGUGCAAGGUCAAAUUUGGUCACCAUUAUGAGGAAGAAGCAACCUAGGAGCGAGAGGUGGGGUCACCAUUCUAAGGAAGAAGCAACCUAGGAGCGAGAGGAUGAGCUGAAAGCCAAGUACCCUAAACUCUUUGUUGGCCAACCUUAAAUCUCGAUGGCGAGAUUCUUUUAAGGGGGAUAGGUUUGUAAUACCUUGAAUUUGGGGGUAUAAAAUUUCUUUGUUCAAAUUCACAAAUUCAGGUGUUACUCCUCCUUUCCCUUCCCUCUCAACCCCAUUUUCUCUUUUCUUUAGAAUAAGGAUUAUUAUUUUAUUAGAAAAUAUAAUUAUAUUUUUGAAGACAAAACCUCAAAAGAGAGUGGAAUGUUGCAUCAUGCUAAACCCCAAACCUUGUUUUUGAUUGAUGCAUAUGCUUAAGAUGGUUGUAAUUGAAAUUGUGGCUUAUUUGAAUUGGAGUACAAAAGAUAAAAUAAAAGGAAAAGGGAAUUAGAAUUUAGAAUAAAAGGAAAAGGAAAAGAAGCUUGCCGCCCAUUCCCCCUCGGCCUUUCAAUCCAACCCAGCCACGCCCCCGCCUCACUCUUCUAUCUUAGCUCGGUGGCCCACACUAUCAGCACCGCUCCGUCGCCCGCACGCUCGCUCUCCCUCUCUCUAUGUCGUGGGCCCUGCCCUAUCAGUGCCCGAUGCCCACACGCCUACUCCGUCGCUCGUGUGCUCGCUCUCCCUCUCUCUCUAUGCCAUCGGCCCUGCCCUAUCAAUGUUCGUUGCCCGCGCUAGCCCGCUGACACCCUGACCCCACCCGUUAGCGAUGAUGUUCAUUUAUGUAAUUGAUGUGUACAUGAAUUUCUGAUCUUGGCACGUAAAUGGUUCGCACUCAGAUUGCCUUCUGAAACCGGGUGUGACAUUAGGUGUCAUGGUCCCUACAAGUAGUGUCAGAGAAAAUUGGCUGAAAUUUGGACCUUUGGCUUCAUCACCAUUGAGCCAACACUAUUUAGAGUGGUUAUUAGGAUGUAUACCUCUAGGUCUUCCCACUUUGCUAGCACUAAUUUCUCUUAUUGGAGUGCUAGAAAGACUUGCUAUCUUGAGGCAGUAGAUUUGGGUGUUUGGAGAGUGACUCGUGAUGGGAUGAAACCCCUAAAUAAUCUGGAGAAACCAACCACGAGUGAUGAAAAAGAAAAUCCAUCUUAAUAAUAGAGCUAAACAUGCUUAUUUGAAUCUUUUAGCAUGGACAAUUUUUAACCAAAUGUUCACCAUAAUAACAACAAAUGAAAUUUGGUUAAAAGUGUAUGAGCUCUAUGAUGGCAUAAGUAACGUUCAUGAGCAAAAUAUUGCUUAACUAAAUGAAGAUAUACUUCUUUAAAAAUUAAUAGAAAUGAGCUUGUUUGAGAUAUGUAUUCAUGAUUAAAUCUAAUUAUCAAUGAGUUCAAAUCUAUAUGAUUCACAAAGCUGGGUCAUGUGGAUAUUGUGAAAAUGAUCAUCUUUGUGCUACUAGAAAAAAUAUGGAAGUAUCAUCGUCAUCAUUCACAACAUAGAUGACUUGAGCACAAUGACCCCAACACUUAUUGUUGGGGGCCUUCGUCCUCCGAAGGUCCUCAAAAACGUAAUUUAACAAUAUCUUCCAAGCAUGGUUUAUGGACAGGUACCUUCGAUUUCAGAAUAAGAAGGGCAUGAUCGUGACGAAGAUUGUUGUUGCUCCGAAGCUAUGCGCAAGGGAGCUUCGGCUUAAUCAUGGAAAAAGGAACCGACUUAAAAGGGAAAAGGUUAUUCAGUCCCCAUAGAUUUGUAUAUAAGUCAAUAAUAAAUGUAAAGGGC
rnacentral:lncRNA from 1 species